rnacentral:rRNA from 1 species
CUUUGCUGACGACCGGCGCACGGGUGCGUAACGCGUAUACAAUCUGCCUUGUACUGGGGGAUAGCCUUUAGAAAUGAAGAUUAAUACCCCAUAGUAUGUAGAGUUCGCAUGGACUUUACAUUAAAGGUUACGGUACAAGAUGAGUAUGCGUCCUAUUAGCUAGAUGGAGUGGUAACGGCACCCCAUGGCAACGAUAGGUAGGGGCCCUGAGAGGGGGAUCCCCCACACUGGUACUGAGACACGGACCAGACUCCUACGGGAGGCAGCAGUGAGGAAUAUUGGACAAUGGAGGCAACUCUGAUCCAGCCAUGCCGCGUGCAGGAAGACUGCCCUAUGGGUUGUAAACUGCUUUUAUACGGGAAGAAACCACUCUACGUGUAGAGUCUUGACGGUACCGUAAGAAUAAGGAUCGGCUAACUCCGUGCCAGCAGCCGCGGUAAUACGGAGGAUCCAAGCGUUAUCCGGAAUCAUUGGGUUUAAAGGGUCCGUAGGUGGACUGGUCAGUCAGAGGUGAAAUCCUGCAGCUUAACUGUAGAACUGCCUUUGAUACUGCUAGUCUUGAAUCAUUAUGAAGUGGUUAGAAUAUGUAGUGUAGCGGUGAAAUGCAUAGAUAUUACAUAGAAUACCAAUUGCGAAGGCAGAUCACUAAUAAUGUAUUGACACUGAUGGACGAAAGCGUAGGUAGCGAACGGGAUUAGAUACCCCGGUAGUCUACGCCGUAAACGAUGGAUACUAGCUGUUGGGCUUCGGUUCAGUGGCUAAGCGAAAGUGAUAAGUAUCCCACCUGGGGAGUACGUUCGCAAGAAUGAAACUCAAAGGAAUUGACGGGGGCCCGCACAAGCGGUGGAGCAUGUGGUUUAAUUCGAUGAUACGCGAGGAACCUUACCAGGGCUUAAAUGUAGAGUGACAGGUCUAGAGAUAGAUUUUUCUUCGGACACUUUACAAGGUGCUGCAUGGUUGUCGUCAGCUCGUGCCGUGAG